rnacentral:rRNA from 1 species
GACGAACCGUGCGAACGUUAUUCGGAAUCACUGGGCUUAAAGCGCGUGUAGGCGGGGCGGAUCGUCGGAUGCUGAAAGCCCCCGGCUCAACCGGGGAAGUGGCACCGAUACGACCGCCCUCGAGGGACGUAGGGGGACCUGGAACUUCCGGUGGAGCGGUGAAAUGCGUUGAGAUCGGAAGGAACGCCCGUGGCGAAAGCGAGGUCCUGGACGUUUUCUGACGCUGAGACGCGAAAGCCAGGGGAGCGAACGGG